UUAAGCGACUAAGCGUACACGGUGGAUGCCCUGGCAGUCAGAGGCGAUGAAGGACGUGCUAAUCUGCGAAAAGCGCCGGCGAGGUGAUAUGAACCUUUGACCCGGCGAUGUCCGAAUGGGGAAACCCAGUGUGAUUCGUCACACUAUCGUUAACUGAAUACAUAGGUUAACGAGGCGAACCGGGGGAACUGAAACAUCUAAGUACCCCGAGGAAAAGAAAUCAACCGAGAUUCCCCCAGUAGCGGCGAGCGAACGGGGAGCAGCCCAGAGUCUGAAUCAGCUUGUGUGUUAGUGGAACCGUCUGGAAAGUCGCACGGUACAGGGUGAAAGUCCCGUACACGAAAAUGCACAGGUUGUGAACUCGAAGAGUAGGGCGGGACACGUGGUAUCCUGUCUGAAUAUGGGGGGACCAUCCUCCAAGGCUAAAUACUCCUGACUGACCGAUAGUGAACCAGUACCGUGAGGGAAAGGCGAAAAGAACCCCGGCGAGGGGAGUGAAAAAGAACCUGAAACCGUGUACGUACAAGCAGUGGGAGCACCUUCGUGGUGUGACUGCGUACCUUUUGUAUAAUGGGUCAGCGACUUAUAUUCUGUAGCAAGGUUAACCGUAUAGGGGAGCCGAAGGGAAACCGAGUCUUAACUGGGCGUUAAGUUGCAGGGUAUAGACCCGAAACCCGGUGAUCUAGCCAUGGGCAGGUUGAAGGUUGGGUAACACUAACUGGAGGACCGAACCGACUAAUGUUGAAAAAUUAGCGGAUGACUUGUGGCUGGGGGUGAAAGGCCAAUCAAACCGGGAGAUAGCUGGUUCUCCCCGAAAGCUAUUUAGGUAGCGCCUCGUGAACUCAUCUUCGGGGGUAGAGCACUGUUUCGGCUAGGGGGCCAUCCCGGCUUACCAACCCGAUGCAAACUACGAAUACCGAAGAAUGUUAUCACGGGAGACACACGGCGGGUGCUAACGUCCGUCGUGAAGAGGGAAACAACCCAGACCGCCAGCUAAGGUCCCAAAGUCAUGGUUAAGUGGGAAACGAUGUGGGAAGGCACAGACAGCCAGGAUGUUGGCUUAGAAGCAGCCAUCAUUUAAAGAAAGCGUAAUAGCUCACUGGUCGAGUCGGCCUGCGCGGAAGAUGUAACGGGGCUAAACCAUGCACCGAAGCUGCGGCAGCGACACUAUGUGUUGUUGGGUAGGGGAGCGUUCUGUAAGCCGUUGAAGGUGUGCUGUGAGGCAUGCUGGAGGUAUCAGAAGUGCGAAUGCUGACAUAAGUAACGAUAAAGCGGGUGAAAAGCCCGCUCGCCGGAAGACCAAGGGUUCCUGUCCAACGUUAAUCGGGGCAGGGUGAGUCGACCCCUAAGGCGAGGCCGAAAGGCGUAGUCGAUGGGAAACAGGUUAAUAUUCCUGUACUUGGUGUUACUGCGAAGGGGGGACGGAGAAGGCUAUGUUAGCCGGGCGACGGUUGUCCCGGUUUAAGCAUGUAGGCGGAACGAUUAGGUAAAUCCGGUCGUUUUUUAACGCUGAGGUGUGAUGACGAGGCACUACGGUGCUGAAGUAACAAAUGCCCUGCUUCCAGGAAAAGCCUCUAAGCAUCAGGUAACAUCAAAUCGUACCCCAAACCGACACAGGUGGUCAGGUAGAGAAUACCAAGGCGCUUGAGAGAACUCGGGUGAAGGAACUAGGCAAAAUGGUGCCGUAACUUCGGGAGAAGGCACGCUGAUAUGUAGGUGAAGCCCCUGCGGGUGGAGCUGAAAUCAGUCGAAGAUACCAGCUGGCUGCAACUGUUUAUUAAAAACACAGCACUGUGCAAACACGAAAGUGGACGUAUACGGUGUGACGCCUGCCCGGUGCCGGAAGGUUAAUUGAUGGGGUUAGCGGCAACGCGAAGCUCUUGAUCGAAGCCCCGGUAAACGGCGGCCGUAACUAUAACGGUCCUAAGGUAGCGAAAUUCCUUGUCGGGUAAGUUCCGACCUGCACGAAUGGCGUAAUGAUGGCCAGGCUGUCUCCACCCGAGACUCAGUGAAAUUGAACUCGCUGUGAAGAUGCAGUGUACCCGCGGCAAGACGGAAAGACCCCGUGAACCUUUACUAUAGCUUGACACUGAACACUGGUCCUUGAUGUGUAGGAUAGGUGGGAGGCUUUGAAGCGUGGACGCCAGUCUGCGUGGAGCCGACCUUGAAAUACCACCCUUUAAUGGCUGGUGUUCUAACGUAGACCCGUAAUCCGGGUUGCGGACAGUGUCUGGUGGGUAGUUUGACUGGGGCGGUCUCCUCCCAAAGAGUAACGGAGGAGCACGAAGGUUAGCUAAUCCUGGUCGGACAUCAGGAGGUUAGUGCAAUGGCAUAAGCUAGCUUGACUGCGAGAGUGACGGCUCGAGCAGGUGCGAAAGCAGGUCAUAGUGAUCCGGUGGUUCUGAAUGGAAGGGCCAUCGCUCAACGGAUAAAAGGUACUCCGGGGAUAACAGGCUGAUA
rnacentral:rRNA from 1 species